UAACCAUUAAACACCCAAGCAUUUAUCAGGACCUUUGAUAUACAUUUAUGUAAUGAAUAUGAGAUUCAAACUACCCAAUCAUCAUCCUCUAUGUACACAUAUAACUAUGAUUCAAACUCUUCAUUCCACUCUAUAUAUACACGUGCGUUGACACCCUCCUUUGUUUGCAGUUUACAUACAGCUAUAACGAAUUCUAUCAACGUAUCAUCAAACCUCUAAUGGCUGAACAUGAUGUUGAAACCAUGUUGGUGUUGCAUUCCUUGAAAGCUCCAUUGGAUCCAAUUACGAUCAAAAUUGUCCGUGUGAAGGUUGAGUCCGUCAAACAAAAUUGAGAUUGAUUGCGUGUAAUUUGCAUUUGUGCAAUUUUGGUCCUGUUGGCAUUUUGCAUAUGUUCAAAUUGCAACUUCAUUCAAUGUUGCUGAAUUGUUUUUAUUUUGGUUGCAAGUACUUUUAGUUAUCAUAUAAUGCCUUUAUGUGAAUGGUAUUAUAAUCCAAACUAAAUAUUUUAUCAAUCCUCAUGAUUUCGUUUGUGUUAUAAUCGAUUUACAAUUGUUGCUACA